CAAAAUACCACCAGGGAGCACCUCGACCCAGAUAAGGGCCUGAAGGAAGAGAGACGAGAAAGAUAUGGGCAGGAAAGGCUAAAGUCACAGGGCGAUGCUGCUCCUCACUGCUCACCUUCAACACAAGGACACUGAUAAAUUCUACCAAAGUUCAGACCAGCAGUCUCAAGAUGAAUACUCAGUUCCAUCCACAGAAAUCCCAUUUUGAACCCAAGCUUAAAAAAUCUCUUCAAUCAUCAACUCAAAAUGAAAUCACUCCUCAUUCCAGGAAUACCAUACAUAACAAUUCAAGGUGCCUUACUUAGUCCAGUAGUCUCCAUGCCCAAUGUGGGGCUAGAACUCACAACCCUGAGAUCAAGAGUUACCAUGCUCUACCAACUGAGCCAGCCAGUCAUCCCUCAAUGGCAAAUGAAAAAAAGGUUCAGCUAUAAGCUGCCCUUGGUUAUUCCGACAGCUCCUAACUGUGUCAUAAAGCUGAUAAAAAGGAUUUGAAACAUCCAUAAAUGAAGUAAUGCUCUCUG